rnacentral:rRNA from 1 species
UACGGAGGGGGCGAGCGUUAUUCGGAAUUAUUGGGCGUAAAGGGCGCGUAGGCGGCUGUACAAGUCCAAGGUGAAAUCCCUCGGCUCAACUGAGGAACUGCCUUUGAAACUGUACGGCUUGAGGCCGGGAGGGGGUAGCGGAAUUCCCAGUGUAGCGGUGAAAUGCGUAGAUACUGGGAGGAACACCAGUGGCGAAGGCGGCUACCUGGACCGGUUCUGACGCUGAGGCGCGAAAGCGUGGGUAGCAAACAGG